GAUAAAGGGCCCAGUUCAGGUAAACAACAUAGUAAAGAACACAAAAAAAACAAAACUAAACUUAACAAUGAUAAUGAUCCAAUUACUAUAAUUUAUAAAAUGUAUUAUGUAUGAAUUACAAUGUGUCUAGUCUAACAUUCCACUGUAGUAAUGAGCGAACUAGAUUGUGUGUGUGUGUGUGUGUGUGUACCUGAUAACAGUGGGGUAAAGUUCUGAUGUGUACACAUAGACGAUGUUGAAGGCAGCACUGACCAUCAGCUUUCCCAAAAGAGCAAAAGAGCUGCCAUUGACCACAGAACCUUCGAGAGAGAGAGAGAGAGAGAGACAGGCAAAAAGAAAGACAGAGACAGAGAGUGAAAUACAGAGACAGGAAGACAGCAAGAGACAGCGUGAGAGAGAGAGAGAAAGUGGCAGAGACAGAAAGUCAGAGGGAAAGAGACAUAGAGAGAGAAAACCAAGAAGGUGUGACAGAGUGAGGAGAGACCGAGAGUGAAGUAGAGAAACAGAGACAGUCAGAGGGGGAAAGAGAGAGCGGGGGGGAAUCGAUGGAGAAACACAAAGAGAGAGCAAGAGAAAGCGUGACAGAGAGACAGGGGAGGAGAGGAAGAGAGACAGAUUGAGAGAGAAUCAGAGAUGGAGACACAGAGAGAGAGAACCCACUCAAUUCCAUCUAAAAAUGUAGGGUCAUCUUGUAUUCAUGGCUGCAUUUCCAACAGCAGAUGGCGCUAAUUAGACACAUAUAAAAGAAAGGCCCUUCAUGCCUGUGAAGAGAUUCUAUCCAUGGAUCGCUGUUCAUCCCAAAAAUACUGCAAUUUAGAUCCACAAUGAACAAGCUAGAGGCAACAGUGGAAAAAUAGAAACCUUCCGGAGACUACAUGAGAGGAAUCAGUCUUAUAAGGGAACUUCUUCUGGGUGACACUGAAAAGACGUAGAGUACUGAGUGUGCUGGAAUGAUGUUCAGCAUGAGCACAGUAUGAAUAAGAGUCCUGGGAUGAGCACAGGACAGUUGUUACGAUUACAGCAGCAGUUCAUACCUACAAAACUACAGCAUAUGGGUGAGAUUAUUCACUCACUUAUUCACAGCAUAUGGGUGAGAUUAAUAUGCAAGGGUGAGACUUGGGCAUAAACUGUGUUUGGAAGUGAAAGAGGAUGAAAGUGAUAGUACAGUGAGUACAGUGAGAGAGCAGAGCUUUGUGAAGAGAAGUAUAAAGACCCGAGUUUGCUGUUAAUACUAGCCAAAGUACUAGUAAUGUGUCAUUCAUGACUGAUUCGUUCAUUUUGAACGAAUCUUUACUAUGACUCGGGAACAACGAGUUGUCUCUCACACACAGAGACACACACACACAGACACACACACACACAGAGAAAAUGAGAGAAAAUGAGAGACAGUGAGAGAGAGAGAGAGAGUGAGAGACAGAGAGUGAGAGUGAGAGUGAGACAGAAAGAGAGAUUUGAAUCAUAUUCUACUGAAAUGAACGAAAUAACGAAAAAAGAUUGGUUCAUUUUGCUGAAUGAGAUUAAAAGUUUCGAGUCAGUAAAAUGAUCCGAACUUCCCACCACUACAACGUACGUUACAGGAUAUCAGCCUUUACGUCAGUUUAAGGCAAUUUAAUUAUUAUUUAAUUUUUUUUCAUUGUCACAUCGUAAUUUUUAACAGAUUAGUUCAAAGUUAGUCACUUAGUUCAUCUUCUUAAACAUCCACAAAACAAGUUCGUUCCUGUUAUUACUAACGUUACAAGUUCCCAACCCCAG